GGAUAAAAGCCUCGGCGGCUGCCGUGGGAACCGCGCUGUCGGGACUCGGCUACCCCUCGCCGGGAGGCCGUGCGAAGCAGCUCCCCGGGCAGCUCCCGGUCGCCUGGCGGCCGAGGCCGUGCCCGUGCCUUUUCCCUGCGGGGCCGCGGAGAGCGGAAGGCGGCAUCCAUCGCCCGCAAGGCCUGAGCGUCCGCUGCCCACCGGCCCAGCACAGGCCAUUAAAGCCGGAUGCGAACUUGGAUUCUGUGUGGCUGAUUGCGGAGCUGUCUGGACGCCCCGAGGUCCCGGAUCGGCGACCCCCGGUGGACAGAGAACUAGCGUAGCCGGACGACGAGCUUUCGCACCAAGGCCACCGGUUGCAGAAGCUGGGAGUGAAAUAAAGGCGCGCGCGCCGGGUCCUGCGCUCCUCCCCUACCGAGAUAGGAAGAAGGCAGAGUGCCCCAGCGCGCCCGCAGGUUAGGCUUCCCCACAAAGCCUGAGCAGCUUGUUGUGUUCGGAUACCGGAGCGUCG
rnacentral:lncRNA from 1 species